AAUAAUGUAUGAUUGAAUUUUUCAUAAUUGAGGGCGUGGGGACUAGCUGUGGAGUCCCACAUCGGCAAGGAGUCAGAGUAAUAAGGUGAUAGAGCGGUAUAAAUUAAAAGAGACGGUUCUUAGUCAACAUACUUACCUGGACGGGGUCUAUGGCCGAUCAAGAAGGGUCAUGGCCUAGGACAGUGACCUCCAUUGCACAUGGGAGGGGCACUGCCCUAAGAUCUGCCCAAGUGGCAGAGUCUACGUCAUAAUUUGUGGUAGAGGGGGUUCGCGUUCGCGCGACCCCUGCCCUAAUUCAGUUCAGAAAUUAUGCUUGAGGAAAAGCAAGUAGAUGAAGACAGCAAUUAAGCUUUUGAAUCCAUGUAUGCUAUUCAACCUAAAUGUACUAUGAAUUAAGGGGGGGGACUAACAGGAAAUAGGAGUAAGUUCUUGUACUUCAUUUUCUAUCGGAAUUUCACUCAUUCACUAAAUUGUUUAUUUUUCAUAAGCGAAAUAGACCUUAUAUUGAUGACUAAAAUAGUUUUUGGGCCUUAUAAACGGUCUUGUUCGUUGCAAGAAAAAGAGGCUACACCUAGGAACUUACCUGGCUGUCAGUGUUGUUGUCUGAUCCAUUUUGUCGGUUCUGCAACUCAACAGAACAGUCGAUGUCCUCGAUGACAAGUAUGGAUCGAUUUGCUGUAGAGACCAACAGCCUUCUCAGGUCUGAAUUGUUCCAGAGACUUGUAAGCUCCAAAUCAUAGAUGUUGAAUUUGAGAUAGUUAGCCAUGGCUGCAAUCAAGCUCGACUUCCCUGUGCCUGGAGGGCCAUACAACAAGUACCCUCGUUUCCAUGCCUUCCCCACUUUCUGGUAGAACUCUCUUCUCCUCACAAAUCUGUCCAAGUCAGCAAUCAGUUCCUUCUUGAGCGUCGGAUCCAUUGCUAAUGUGUCAAAGGUGCAUGGAUGGCUGAGAUUGAUUGAUCCCCAAGGGCCAUCGUAAUCUUCAGAGAAAUUUCCUAGUGAGCAUAGCUUCACCACCUUGUUUUCUUCUUUUAUGGCUCUUGAUCUUUCUAUUACAUAUGGCAGGUAUGUGCUCAAGACCACCUCCUUGUAUUUCUUGUGAAAAAUGAGCUCAAUUGACCUCUGUUCCGACUUCUCAGUCGCCAUGGAACCACUGUCAUAGUCAAAAGAUGGUUUCUGGGUUUCAGCACAAAUCAAUUGCCAUCUGAGUUCGAUUCCUUCAAAAACAUCCACAACCAUUUCUCCUUUGCUGACAGUGACUGAGAGGUUCUUCUCUCGCAGGCCUUUGGAAACAUUAAGCCGGCCGACCGAGGGGGUGAUUUUGGUGCGCAAAUAGAGUUCAGAAGCCUGAUAAAUUUGAUUUACAGAGAGCCCAUUGAACUCUUGAAUGACAAGGACCAUUUCAGAAGAGUGACUACCAAGAAGGCCUCCAAGUUUGGAAACGAUCUUCUCUCGGAGUUGUUGGGGUAUGAGCUGGUUGGCCAUGGUCUCAACUUCACUCACCACAGUCCGGACCAGCAUUGCUGAUGCAGCAAAGGUGGUGUAUGUUGAUAAAACUGAGGCAGUUGAAGGCAUACCACUCAGAGAAAACAUGCUUUGGGUUGGGGUAUUGGAAAGAGUAGAAAGGUUGUUGGGGGUUUUACAAUGCAGAGGGCUUGCUUUGAGUAUAUUUGGCUGCUUGAGUUGUGACCAUGUUAUGUGAAUGGGUUUUUAUAGAGCAGCACUCUGGAGAGAGGAGCUUCCACUGGAAGCUGUUUGAUUAGAAGUAGAAAGACAAGUCAAAGUACAACUAUCACACAAAUGGGAGCAAUAGAAUCAGGUGAGCAUGUGAGAAUGUUCAAAGUUUGUUGGGCACAAACCUUCUUGAACAAUUCUUAUACUGAAAGUGACUCGACUCUCUUCUA